UGGAUCUGGAAGGUCCAACAGAGGCCGAUGAUUUGGAGGUGGGAUUUGUUGGCUGGUUUUUCGGAGUUUGGGAGGAACCCAGGGGCCUGGCACCGGAGAGGCCUGCACCUACACACUCGUCUGUCCCCGCCUCGCUGAGCUGCGUGUGCCCAGCAUCCCGAGUUGAGGACCACCCAGAUCCUCCAGCAGGGACUUGAUCCGGAACCUCAGAGAAGUUCCAAAUCCUUCCACUAGAGGGCACAGGCGCGCUUCGCAGAACCGAGAUUGGGCGGAGCUUCGGAUCUGAACCAGACUACUGGGGGGCGGGGAAGGCCCUGGAGCCUUCUUCUCCCGGAUGCGUGGACUCUCCAAGCACCCCCUCACGCAUACACCCAUGCACCCCGGAGACUGCAGGGGCCAGAUCCGCAGCAGCUGAGCAGCCCUGCCGACUGGUGGGCGACAUGCCUGUCACCGUCACAUCCUGCACUUGUGGUCUUUGGGCCUCUCUGAAACGUGCACCGUGAACAUCUCUGUGUUCCCUUCUGGGCCUGCGUGGGGAUUUCCUGUGGAGGGAAGGAUUGCUCCGCAGAGGCAAUGCACACGAGGGACUGAGUUCCACCCAGGAGAGCCAGCCUCCUUUCUACCUACCCCAACAAGGCUGCACCUCCUAAUCCUUCUCAUAGCCAUCUAUGCUUCAGUGAUGCAAGAUUGACGUCUUAGCGUCAGCCAGCUUCCCAACAAAGGCCAGCCAACACACGCAAAUGCUGUGCUGUCUGUAUCUCUCUAAUUCUGUAGCAUAUUUUCAUAUGCUUAUCAGCUUAGAUUUCUCAUCUGACUGCCUGUUUGUGGCUUGCUCACUUUUUGUUUUUUAAAUUUACUUUAUGUGUAUUUGUGUGUGCUGACUGUGUACAGAAGAAGGCAUCACAUCUUCUGGAACUGGAGUUACAGUGAUUGUUAGCCCCCAUAUGUGUGCUUGGGAGCUGAACCUGAGUCCUCUGCAAAUCAGUAAGCACUAUAAA